UAAUUAUUUCAAUUUUCUUUUACAAUACUAUUAAACUAUUAUUAAAAUUAUUUUUUCUUUAAAAAUACUAAAACAAAUAUUUUUAUAAUUAUUUUUAAUAAUUUUUUAAAAAAAUAAAUAAAAUAAAUAAAUAAAAUAUAAAUCAAUUUAUAUUGAUUUGCACAAAAAUCUUUUCAAUGUAAAUGAAAUACUUUACUAAAUAAGCUUUAAAUUGCAUUCUAGAUACACUUUCCAGUACAUCUACUAUGUUACGACUUAUCUUACCUUAAUAAUAAGAGUGACGGGCGAUGUGUACAUAUUUUAGAGCUAAAAUCAAAUUAUUAAUCUUUAUAAUUUUACUAUCAAAUCCACCUUCAAUAAAUAAAUUUCAUAUUUAUAUUCAUAAAUAAAUAAUUUUAUUGUAACCCAUUUCUUCUUAAAUAUAAACUACACCUUGAUCUGAUAUAUUUUUUAUUUAAAAAUUAAGAAAAUUAACAUUCUUAUGAAAUAUUCUAAUAACGACGGUAUAUAAAUUGAUUACAAACUUAAGUAAGGUCCAUCGUGGAAUAUCGAUUAUAGAACAGGUUCCUCUGAAUAGACUAAAAUACCGCCAAAUUUUUUAAGUUUCAAGAACAUAACUA
rnacentral:rRNA from 1 species